rnacentral:rRNA from 1 species
AUUGAACGCUGGCGGCAUGCCUAACACAUGCAAGUCGAGCGAGCGGCGGACGGGUGAGUAAUGUAUGGGGACUGCCCGAUAUAGGUGGAUAACGACUGGAAACGGUAGCUAAUACCGCAUACUAUCGGAUAACCCAUAUGGGAUUAGCUCUUAGGUGGGGUAAUGGCUCACCUGGGCGACGAUCCCUAGCUGGUCUGAGGGGCUGAUCAGCCAACCUGGGACGUAGACACGGCCAAGAGUCCUACGGCGGCGGCGGUGGGGAAUAUUGGACAAUGGGCGAAAGGCUGAUGAGGCCAUGCGGCGUGUAUGAGGAAGGCAUGAGGGUUUUAAGGUACUUUAAGUCGGUAGGCGUUACUGACAGAAGAAGCGCCGGCUAACUACGUGCCAGCAGCCGCGGUAAUUC